AACAACUGAGUGUGUGCUGCAGGUCGGGAGUGGAGUGAGGGUGGAAAUGGAGACUACCCUCGCUGGUAUAGCUCACCUUGACAAUAAUCGGCUGAAAUGGAUCCUCCACGGGCACUAUGAAGACCUCGUCCCACACGGGAUUUAGGUCACGGUGAAUAGUGCGCGACUUGUGAAGCAAUCGUCCUCCCACCUUGAAUUUGACAUAAGGAUCACUCAGUCCUGACGCGACGGAAGACACACAAAGAAAGACA